GGUUGGUCUGAUUCCUUGGGCAGAGUUUGCGCACAACAAUCUCGUUUGUGAUUCUACUCGUUCUAGCCCCUUUUUCUUGAAUUAUGGCUUUCAUCCUUCCAUUCUUCCGUCGGUUUCCCCUUCCCAAGGGGUUCCGUCGGUUGAUGUUCAUGUCGACAAUCUGAGAAAGUUGUGGGAUCAGACUCGACAAAUUCUUCUUCAGAAUUCCUUGGUGUUCAAACGACACGCUGACAAACGGAGACGGGUGGCUCCGGUUUUUGCCCCGGGUGAUAGGGUGUGGUUGAGUACCAGAAACAUCCGCU